UACAGAGGUCUCAAGCGUUGUUCGGAUUCAUUGGGCGUAAAGGGUGCGUAGGCGGCGCGGUAAGUCGGGUGUGAAAUCUUGGAGCUUAACUCCGAAACUGCAUUCGAUACUGCCGUGCUUGAGGACUGGAGAGGAGACUGGAAUUUACGGUGUAGCGGUGAAAUGCGUAGAUAUCGUAAGGAAGACCAGUGGCGAAGGCGGGUCUCGUGGACAGUUCCUGACGCUGAGGCACGAAGGCCCAGGGGGAGCAAACAGG
rnacentral:rRNA from 1 species